AACGAACGCUGGCGGCAGGCUUAACACAUGCAAGUCGAGCGCCCCGCAAGGGGAGCGGCAGACGGGUGAGUAACGCGUGGGAAUCUACCCAUCUCUACGGAAUAACGCAUGGAAACGCGUGCUAAUACCGUAUACGUCCUUCGGGAGAAAGAUUUAUCGGAGAUGGAUGAGCCCGCGUUGGAUUAGCUAGUUGGUGGGGUAAAGGCCUACCAAGGCGACGAUCCAUAGCUGGUCUGAGAGGAUGAUCAGCCACACUGGGACUGAGACACGGCCCAGACUCCUACGGGAGGCAGCAGUGGGGAGUAUCGGACAAUGGGCGCAAGCCUGAUCCAGCCAUGCCGCGUGAGUGAUGAAGGCCCUAGGGUUGUAAAGCUCUUUCACCGGUGAAGAUAAUGACGGUAACCGGAGAAGAAGCCCCGGCUAACUUCGUGCCAGCCGCCGCGGUAAUAC
rnacentral:rRNA from 1 species